UUUUGAAUUAGCUUCACAAUGCUAAAAAAAAAAAAAAAUCUUCCUAAAGUGUAUUCCCUUUUUAUUUAGGUUGUGUUUCUGACCUAUUUACUAUGGUAUGGAAUUCUGUAGUGACUGCAAAUCAAAUGGGCAAUACACAGAGGCAACAGUUCCUGGAGGUCAGAAAGCUGAGGUGGCACAUGGGAGACAAGAAGGGAAUGUGAAAAAGAAGAGAAUGGGAUUUUUCCUCCAAAGAAAUCUAAUUCUGGAGAAAAGAGAAUGAAAUUCACAGACUUCAUGUUCCAAAACCAACAAAAGAAAUAAUCCCAGGUUCUGAUCCAUGUAAUUGAUGGUCAUCUGUGCAAACUGUAUUUCAUUAUUCCCUGUGAAAGCCCCCAUUGAUUAAAUAUUGGUUGGAGCCUUCAGCAUGGGCUCAGUAGCACCGUUGUGAGUAAUAUACAUAACAUAUGUAAAAGUUAAUUUGAUACAAAGCCAUUUAAGGACUCAUCUUUGAAAUUCCUCAAGGCAAUAAGAUGGUCCAUUCAUAAUGGAUUGUCCUACAUUGAUGAACAAGCAAAGAUUACUCAGCCAGAUAGCGGCCUCAGGACAAUCCAUAUAACAACAACUUAACAAAAUUCCUUACAUAAAAAAUAUAUCAAGAUUGAUUCUUCAGAUCUAAAAUGGAAAAUAAGUUCUUCCUUGAGGUUUUGCUAGCUUAACAAUUUUGCCAUUCCAUGUUUCUUUAACUGUAGUGCACAAAUGUUACGUAUUAUUAUUCCACUGUUCUUUCUUUUUUUCUGGGUCAUGCAUUUCAUUAUUUCCCAGCAUUUUAGCUCAUUUCUGCCUACUGUACUUAUGUAAGGAAAUAAAACUUGUGCCACACAUCA
rnacentral:lncRNA from 1 species